rnacentral:rRNA from 1 species
UACGUAGGCAGCAAGCGUUGUUCGGAGUUACUGGGCGUAAAGGGUGCGUAGGCGGCUUUUUAAGUCUGGUGUGAAAUCUCCCGGCUCAACUGGGAGGGUGCGCCGGAUACUGGAGGGCUAGAGUGUGGGAGAGGAAAGUGGAAUUCCUGGUGUAGCGGUGAAAUGCGUAGAUAUCAGGGGGAACACCGGUGGUGUAAACGGCUUUCUGGACCAUAACUGACGCUGAGGCACGAAAGCGUGGGUAGCAAACAGG